rnacentral:lncRNA from 1 species
GAAAAUAAUAAAGGGAGAGGAAAAGGUCACAUGCUAAAAAUUUAUUAUUAGUUUUUUUUUUCCACGACUCAUCAUUGCAUAUAAAAAAACUAUGUGCAAAUAGAAUGCCAUUGAAAUUGAAUUCAUGGGAAGGUGAAGGAAGGAAGGAGAGAAUGCAUGCAUCUUGCAAUGUCCUAUCUUAAAGUGAUUGUGAAUGCGGAAAGCAAAGGCUGCAAACCAGAGAGGAGGAUCCAAAAG